GUCAGGCAUGCUGGUGUGUGCCUGUAGUCCCAGCUACUCGGGAGGCUGAGGCGGGAGGAUCGCUUGAGCCCAGGAGUUCUGGGCUGUAGUGCGCUAUGCUGAUCAGGUGUCUGCACUAAGUUCGGCAUCAAUAUGGUGACAUCCUGGGAGUGGGGGACUGCCAGAUUGCCUAAGGAAGGGUGAGCUGGCCCAGGUCAGAAACAGCAGCUCAAAACUUCCAUGCUGAUCAGUAGUGGAAUCACACCUGUGAAUAGCCACCGCACUCCACUCCAGCAUGGGCAACAUAGGGAGACCCCAUCUCUC
ensembl:misc_RNA Metazoa_SRP Metazoan signal recognition particle RNA